ACGUCUACAUUAGAUACCCCGGUAGUCCUAGCCGUAAACGAUACUCGCUAGGUGUCGGCCACGGUGCGACCGUUGUCGGUGCCGUAGUGAAGCCGUGAAGCGAGCCACCUGGGAAGUACGGCCGCAAGGCUGAAACUUAAAGGAAUUGGCGGGGGAGCACAACAACGGGUGGAGCUUGCGGUUUAAUUGGAUUCAACGCCGGAAAUCUUACCGGGACCGACAGCAACAUGAAGGCCAAGCUGAAGACUUUGCCGGAUUAGCUG
rnacentral:rRNA from 1 species